UGGGGAAUCUUGGACAAUGGGGGCAACCCUGAUCCAGCCAUGCCGCGUGAGUGAUGAAGGCCUUAGGGUCGUAAAGCUCUUUCGCCUGUGAAGAUAAUGACGGUAGCAGGUAAAGAAACCCCGGCUAACUCCGUGCCAGCAGCCGCGGUAAUACGGAGGGGGUUAGCGUUGUUCGGAAUUACUGGGCGUAAAGCGCACGUAGGCGGACCAGAAAGUUGGGGGUGAAAUCCCGGGGGCUCAACCCCGGAACUGCCUCCAAAACUAUCGGUCUAGAGUUCGAGAGAGGUGAGUGGAAUUCCGAGUGUAGAGGUGAAAUUCGUAGAUAUUCGGAGGAACACCAGUGGCGAAGGCGGCUCACUGGCUCGAUACUGACGCUGAGGUGCGAAAGUGUGGGGAGCAAACAGGAUUAGAUACCCUGGUAGUCCACACCGUAAACGAUGAAUGCCAGUCGUCGGAUAGCAUGCUAUUCGGUGACACACCUAACGGAUUAAGCAUUCCGCCUGGGGAGUACGGUCGCAAGAUUAAAACUC
rnacentral:rRNA from 1 species